CAUGCAAGUCGAGGGGCAACAUGGUAUCAGCUUGCUGAUACCGAUGGCGACCGGCGCACGGGUGAGUAACGCGUAUGUAAUCUACCUGUAACAGAGGGAUAACCCGGAGAAAUCCGGACUAAUACCUCAUAGCACAUAUUAUUCGCAUGAAUUUUAUGUUAAAGAGACUCGGUUACAGAUGAACAUGCGUUCCAUUAGCUGGUUGGCGGGGUCACGGCCCACCAAGGCAACGAUGGAUAGGGGUUCUGAGAGGAAGGUCCCCCACACUGGUACUGAGACACGGACCAGACUCCUACGGGAGGCAGCAGUGAGGAAUAUUGGUCAAUGGGCGAAAGCCUGAACCAGCCAAGUCGCGUGGAGGAAGACGGCCCUACGGGUUGUAAACUCCUUUUACCUGGGAAUAACGGGCGCUACGCGUAGCGCUGUGCAAGUACCGGGCGAAUAAGCAUCGGCUAAUUCCGUGUCAGCAGCCGCGGUAAUACGGAAGAUGCGAGCGUUAUCCGGAUUUAUUGGGUUUAAAGGGUGCGUAGGCGGAAGAAUAAGUCAGCGGUGAAAUGCUUCAGCUCAACUGGAGAAUUGCCGAUGAAACUGUUUUUCUAGAGUAUAAAAGAGGUAUGCGGAAUGCGUGGUGUAGCGGUGAAAUGCAUAGAUAUCACGCAGAACCCCGAUUGCGAAGGCAGCAUACUGGGCUAUAACUGACGCUGAAGCACGAAAGCGUGGGUAUCGAACAGGAUUAGAUACCCUGGUAGUCCACGCCGUAAACGAUGAAUACUAACUGUUUGCGAUAUAAUGUAAGCGGUACAGCGAAAGCGUUAAGUAUUCCACCUGGGG
rnacentral:rRNA from 1 species